GGGGCUGUCGGCUAGUAUGGUUCAGGCUACGUGGCUUGGGCCCACGUGACCGGAGUUCAAAUCUCCGCAGCCCCACCA
rnacentral:tRNA from 1 species